GACUUCCGGCGUAUCCUCCCGACCUCCGGCGGCGUCCGACUUCGCUCCCUGCUGUGCUCUCCUGGUCGUGCUUUCUCUGCCCCCGGCCUGCCCUGUUUUCUCGCUCACUGAAGCCGCAGCCCCAGAACUGAUCUCCAGUGAGAAGAUAAAUCCUCCUAGAAAACAACGUGUCAGUCUGCUUAGUUAAGACAGGGCUUCUGAGUUCUGAAGUCUUGCCCAUGUGUAGCUAGAACAGAGCCAAGACUAUGCACUAUCUCUGAAGGCUAAGGACACAAUUUCAUCCCAAGAGAGGGAAGAAUAUUAUUCCGAAGAGCCUAUUACUGUUUCUGUCUGUUCCUUGUUAAGUGUGGCAGGACAGUAUUAACAGGUUGUCUCCUCCAGCCACUAUCCUCUUCUCUCGAUGUUUUUGUGCAUCACUCCACCCCAGAUGAGCAGCUAGGCAUUCUGUGCUUAUUGCUUUAAGGGAAGAUGUGACGGCAAAGAAAGCGUCCUUCCUGGCUUUGGUGUUGCAAAAGGCUUGGCUUUACAGGAACAAAAAAGACUCCUGGCAGAGCAAGAGAUUUGGAUAAAACAUGUUUUGUAAGAGCCUGGCUUUCUACUCGCAGAAAAAACUAAAACAAACCCAUCUCCUGUGCUGGGGACCAAGGAGGCUGUGAGUGGUACAGGCAAGAGAGAAGGAGGGGGGCAGUGGGGGCCAGUCUCCACUGUCCCCGAGAUAGGGAGUCUGAACCAAGCUCCCCAGUCCCAUCCUUGGGACACUGCAGACCUCCAUAUUUGGGUUUGUGAGAUCCGAGAGCAGGAGGAAGGUGUGCCCAGAGACCUGAGCACCGCCCAGGAAGGCAGUGGGCCCAGAGAGAGAAUAUGGACUCAUGGGACGCCUGGUGUGAGUAGGUAGGUGGCAACUAGACGGACUCUCAAAGACCUUCUGUGCCCUAAUGUGGAAUGUGAGCAAAGCGGUGUCCCUGUAUAUCCAGGUGUGCUGUGGAAGAAGAAAGACACGUCCACACUUCAAGGGAGCUUGCAGAAGGGAACUCUGAGCCUAACAGAGGCUGGGGAAACUGAUGACUGCAUUAAGAUGCUGUGUUUCUCACUGGAUGCCCAUGUAGACAGAUGGCAUUGGAAACCAGAGGCUCCCAACCUAAACACUCAUCACCAAACUAGACAUUCUCAAAUUUAGAUUCAGCUGUGGGGUUGGUGGGAGAUACCAGGAAUUGGCAGAGAUUAUGGUAUCACCAACCGUUUGGAAGAGGCAAUUCAAAACUGAACUUAAUUAAGCAUGAUCCAGUUCCUUUGGCAGAAUGAUUUGUGGGAAUUAAAAGAACUAACAUUGCUGAAUAUCUGCUGUGUGCCUGAUGCUUUCACAUGCCUUGUAAGCAUCGUCUGCGUCCUAGCGUCCAUGUCAACCAUUGUAGAUCAACACUGAUGGCUGGUGGUGACAGUCUGAAGUUCAAAAAGGCUUUUAACAGGCUCUGAAUUGUGGCUCCAUCAUUGAGAUGACAAGUGACAAUGUGAAAUGAAGGAUUUCUAUGCUGUUGAUAGGAAAGUCAUUCGAGUGCCCUGGAUAUCAGACCAGUGUGAAGCAGAGAAAUGAGCUUGAAUUUUGCCCACAGAAAGGAAUAUCUCACCUUGCUAAGAAGAAAGGUUUUGGAGAGGGUUAUGGCUUUCCUCAAAUCGCAACAAUGGAUCUAUUUAAGUCCUGGAACUCUGCUGGUUGCCCCAGAAAUCUGUACUACAAAGCAUCAUCC
ensembl:lncRNA